UAUAAUUGUUAAGUUUUUGAAUGAAUGCUAAGUUACAACAAGGCCAGUGGGAGUGGUGUCAUAAUUUGAGCAACAAGAUAUGAAUAAAGUCUAUUUGAUAGACUUGAUAGAACAUAGAUGUUACUCGAAAAUUGACAAAACAUGACACGGUCAAUUUUAAAGUAUAAACUUGAAAUUGGACUUAUUGAUAUAGCAAGGCUAUCUCAAGAAUGUUAUUUGGGGAGAUUAAAUCUCAAAUGUUGAAGAUUCAAGAAAGCAUUUUCCUAUAUGAUAGAAAAACCACUUUCGUAACCCUUAAAAUGAAUGUGUCACAAUCACAAAAGGGACACAUGUAUGGACUUGUGAGUAGAUAUCCAAAAGUGAAGAACCAUAUGGGUUGUCACUUUAAGAUAUUACUAUAUCCCAGGAUCAGAACCAAAGCAACUGAUAAAGUAUUAUUGCCUUUAAGAAAGGAACAUCAGAGUAGGACUCUGGAAGCGUGCAUUCACUUAGGUUAUUAACCAAAGUGAAAAUAACCCAUUUUAACAAAUGGAACUUCAUAAUGGAUGAAGUACUAAUCAUAUGAAUGUAUUGUAAGUAUUAUACUACAAUGGUCCUAAGGUUGGAGCAAAGUUUGUAUAAAGUAUACAAACGAAAUAUAUGACGAUAUAUUGUUUUAGAAACUGCUUCACUAGGUGUUUUGAAUGGAAGGGGUUCUUUUAGAACCAAUGAUUGAAUCCAAACCAUAAGGUCGUUAGUAGGACACUACGACGUAAUGGGGUGAUAGCUCAAACCAUGGAAUCAAGGUCUCAUCAAAGUAUUCGAACACAAGAAAGAGACAUCAUCAAAUGUUUUGGAAACAUUUGAUAAGUGAAUCCCUUUUAAAUAAAAAGGAUUAAUGCAUAACCAAGUUAACCUAUGAGCAUAAGCUCUCUCAACUAGCAUGUAUAAGAUACACUAGUGAUUGACUUUAGUGCA
rnacentral:lncRNA from 1 species